AAUAGCGGAGGAAAAGAAACCAACAGGGAUUACCUCAGUAACGGCGAGUGAAGCGGUAACAGCUCAAAUUUGAAAUCUGGCAGCAAUGUCCGAGUUGUAAUUUGUAGAGGAUGUUUCGAGCAUGGUCUGGCCUAAGUUCCUUGGAACAGGACGUCAUAGAGGGUGAGAAUCCCGUAUGCGGUCAGGUGCCUACGCUCAUGUGAAACUCCUUCGACGAGUCGAGUUGUUUGGGAAUGCAGCUCAAAAUGGGUGGUAAAUUUCAUCUAAAGCUAAAUAUUGGCCAGAGACCGAUAGCGCACAAGUAGAGUGAUCGAAAGAUGAAAAGCACUUUGGAAAGAGAGUUAAACAGUACGUGAAAUUGUUGAAAGGGAAGCGCUUGCAACCAGACUUGCACGCAGCUGAUCAUCCGCUGUUCUCAGUGGUGCACUCGGUUGCGUUCAGGCCAGCAUCGGUUUUGGUGGUGGGAUAAAGGCCUUAGGAAUGUAGCUGCUUUCGGGCAGUGUUAUAGCCUAGGGUGCAAUGCCGCCUACUGGGACCGAGGACCGCGCUCGGCUAGGAUGCUGCGUAUGCG
rnacentral:rRNA from 1 species